rnacentral:lncRNA from 1 species
AUGUUACAAUCACAUCUCACCACCACCUAUCUCCAGGUCCAGCUGGCCACAAGAAAUGAGGGGUCAAGACCCAGCCCCAAAACCCACAAGCUCAGGAAAGCUCCCCCUUGCCAGAAAGGAAAGCCCAAUGAGUCAAAAGAAUUCUCAGGACCUAACUCUUAUCCUGCUACCUCCAGGAAGCCCUCAAGGAUCAAUAUCUCUCUCCCUCCUUCCAUCCGGUCUCUCCCUCCCUCCAUCCUGUCUCUCCCUCUCUCUCUCUCUCCUUUCUCUCCCUUCCUUCCUCCUGUCUCUCCCUCCCUCCAUUCUCUCUCCUGUCUUUCUCUCCCUCUCUCUCCUGUCUCUCCCUCCCCAUCCUGUCUCUCCCUCCCUCUCUCUCCUGUCUUUCUCUCCCUCCUUCCAUCCUGUCUCUCCCUCCCUCUCCUGUCUCUCCCUCCCUCUCUCUCCUGUCUUUCUUUCCCUCCUUCCACCCUGUCUCUCCCUCUCUCUCCUGUCUCUCCCCAUCCUGUCUCUCCCUCCCUCUCUCUCCUGUCUUUCUCUCCCUCCCUCCAUCCUGUCUUUCCCUCUGUCUCUUUCUCUCUCUCUGUCUCUUUCUCUCUGUCUCUGUCUCUCUCUGUCUGUCUCUCUCUUUCUCUCUGUCUCUCUGUCUCUCUCUGUCUCUCUGUCUCUCUCUGUCUCUGUCUCUGUCUCUGUCUCUGUCUCUCUCUCUCUCUCUCUCUUGUCUUUCUCUCCCUCUCUCUCUCCUCCUCUCUUUGUCUCUCUUCCUCUCUGUGUGUCUCUCUCCCACCUCUCUCCCUCUCUUCCUCUCCCCCUCUCCUCUCCUCUUUCUCUCUAUCUCUGGUCUGUCUCUGUCUCUCCCUCUUUCUCUCUGUCUCUUCUCUCUCUUGCUCUCUCUCUGUCUGUCUCUCUCUUCUCUUCUCUUUCUCUCCCUCCCCACUUCUCCCUGCCCUCUCUCCUCUUAGUUCACAUAAGACUAGUCACUCUUUAGGAUCUAUGGCCUGGGCAGCCAGGUAG